UAAGUGUAUAUUAAUUCUUUCAGAUUAUCCCACUCUCCCCUGGGUGGAGGACGAGGAUUUGGAAGCCGACUUUCAUUACGGAGUCAAUCUCAGAGUACUGACAGGACGAGUCCCAGGUUCCUCUCCGCCAGGAUUCCUCCCCGGAGUAGUACUCCGAUCAACUACAGGAUAGAUGAUAUCAAGGAGCAAGAAGAGCAGGAGGAACAUGAGGAGCAGAACCAAUCCGUCUCCGAACUUGAACAAAGCCGAGGGGAACCGGAUAAAAGCAGGGAAAGCUCAGAGAUUAAUGGAAAUUAUGACGGCUCAGAGCAGAACAAAACCACGAAAAAUUCUCCACUUGAAGACGACAUUCAGAAUUCAAAAAUUAAAAAUGAGUCAAAAUCAUUUGAUACAGCUCACGCGGGAACAAACGGAUUUGCGAAGGAAA